rnacentral:rRNA from 1 species
GAUGAACGCUGGCGGCGUGCUUAACACAUGCAAGUCGAACGGAAAGGCCCAAGCUUGCUUGGGUACUCGAGUGGCGAACGGGUGAGUAACACGUGGGUGAUCUGCCCUGCACUUCGGGAUAAGCCUGGGAAACUGGGUCUAAUACCGGAUAGGACCACAUUUUGGAUGGUGUGGUGGAAAGUUUUUCGGUGUGGGAUGAGCUCGCGGCCUAUCAGCUUGUUGGUGGGGUAGUGGCCUACCAAGGCGUCGACGGGUAGCCGGCCUGAGAGGGUGUACGGCCACAUUGGGACUGAGAUACGGCCCAGACUCCUACGGGAGGCAGCAGUGGGGAAUAUUGCACAAUGGGCGCAAGCCUGAUGCAGCGACGCCGCGUGGGGGAUGACGGCCUUCGGGUUGUAAACUCCUUUCGCUAGGGACGAAGCGUUAUGUGACGGUACCUGGAGAAGAAGCACCGGCUAACUACGUG